UUCCCUCGGUCCCGGCCGGUCCGCGAGGCGACGUUCAUCGCCAAAGUUUGGACGCGGACCGUCCCGGGACCGGGGUUUUCGUCAGGCAGGAGGAUUUUUUCGGAGGCUCCCGGGAACCACGUUCCCGAGGAGCGUCGUGCAUGCGUGUCGAUGGCCGGGGGUUAGGGGAGCGGUUGAGACGAGAGCGAGGGAGGGUUUGUGGGUAAGCUGAAGGAGGGCUCUGUGUGUGUGUGUUUGUGUGAGUGUGUGUUGACCGGUUCUAACCUUGUGCGUAUGGCCUUUGCCUUUCAGGUUUUUCAGCUCAUUUUUAAAUUUAGAAUAAAAAAUCCCCAGCCGGGGGUUUUUUUUUUUUCCCCCCGGCUGGGUUUUUUUUUUCCUCGGUCCCGGCCGGUCCGCGAGGCGACGUUCAUCGCCAAAGUUGGGAGGCGGACCGUCCCGGGACCGGGGUUUUCGUCAGGCAGGAGGAUUUUUUCGGAGGCUCCCGGGAACCACGUUCCCGAGGAGCGUCGUGCAGGCGUGUCGACGGCCGGGGGUUAGGGGAGCGGUUGAGACGAGAGCGAGGGUGGGUUUGUGGGUAAGCUGAAGGAGGGCUCCGUGUGCGUGUGUUUGUGUGCGUGUCGACCGGUUCUAACCUUGUGCGUAUGGCCUUUGCCUUUCAGGUUUUUCAGCUCAUUUUUAAAUUUAGAAUAAAAAAUCCCCAGCCGGGGGGUUUUUUUUUUUUCCCCCCGGCUGGGUUUUUUUUUCCUCGGUCCUGGCCGGUCCGCGAGGCGACGUUCAUCGCCAAAGUUGGGAGGCGGACCGUCCCGGGACCGGGGUUUUCGUCAGGCAGGAGGAUUUUUUCGGAGGCUCCCGGGAACCACGUUCCCGAGGAGCGUCGUGCAGGCGUGUCGACGGCCGGGGGUUAGGGGAGCGGUUGAGACGAGAGCGAGGGUGGGUUUGUGGGUAAGCUGAAGGAGGGCUCCGUGCGUGUGUGUUUGUGUGUGCGUGUCGACGGCCGGGGGUUAGGGGAGCGGUUGAGACGAGAGCGAGGGUGGGUUUGUGGGUAAG